AGGAAUCCCCUAUCGUUCUCUCAGUAUCUCAGACCCAGAAUUUUCCAUCGCUGCUGAAACCCGUUGUUCGAUCACUUAGUCUUCUCCCUGUAAUCCGAAGGUUCCUUUUUCAUGGUUAUCUUGAUCAUCAUGUUAAUCUUGGGGAUGUUCUACAUGAUUUACAAAUCUGCUUUGGUUUCCAAGGAAGAUCAGUCGCAAAUUUUUUUGGAACAAAAAACAAAUUACAGAAUUAUUGCAAUGAAUUAUAUAUAGAGUAUCAAAAUAUUGGACCUUUACGUCCAUGAAGGGUUGGCAUUCUGGAUUGAAAAUUAUUUUCAUCUUUAAUUAAGUUAAAAGAUCUAUUUACUUGGAUUCGAAAGUGAAUAAUAUGUGCAGUAUUCGUUCUUCGAUGAAACUCUUGGUUGUUGUUUCAGACUCAAAGUUUAUCAUUUCAUCACUACAGUAUUACCUAACAAAAAAAAUUUUUGUGAUUUCUCUGAUUCUUUACAAUUCCUUCUAUUAGCUAAUUCUCUAACAACAAUAAAAGAAUCCAAAAAAAAAAAAUCUUUAUCAGAAGUCACUCUUCAUUCCUCCAAAUAUAAUUGCUGGCUAACCAUCCAUGCCAAAAAAGUAAGUCUAAUUGUUAGUAUGUAAUCUUUUAAUUCUUGGAUUAGGAUCUGAACCCAACGGUGAUGCUUUUUACUACUUUAACUAGGUUUAUGAUGUAACCAAUUUUUCGGAAGAACAUCCAGGAAGACAAGAUGUUCAACUAGAAUCUGCAGCGGUUCUUGCAUGGCUUUCUCAAUCGUGCUAAGAUCUUUGAAGCUGCUGCAAAGUUGAUGAAAGAGAUGAGCUCAAAAGGUUUUCAAUAUGAUCUCAUUACAUACUCGUACAUACUCAAGGAUAUCAGGAAAGUUGGCGAGGAUAAUAUAGAUGCACAUAUCUAACACUAACUUGGUACGUUGCUCCUCUUCCUGCUUAGUAUACCUGUAUCUGAUUUGCUCACUUAAUUGAGAAUCUAAAUCAUCGUUGUUAAAUGGUGCACAUGAACAUGUAUAAUAGAUUCUCUCUCUCAUUAUCACGUGCGCGAACACACACACACUUUGGUAUUAAAGAUUUUGGAUUGUUCAACUUCGAAAGGCAAGUAAAAAUACAAAUAUUUUGAAAGGCAAAAAAAUUACUUAAAAAA